UAAAAUGUAAAUAUGUGAGUGGAUAAAAUAAUGGAGAAAUGAUAAAAAACUGGAAGAUAUACUGUUGGAGAAGAGGAUCAGGAGUUAUGAGGCGAGAAGGAACAGAGGUUACUACAGUGAGUCUCCAACUUAGGAAUGAGUUCCGUUCUGGGAAAAUGUUCAUAAGUUGGAUUCAUCUGUAAGUCUAACAAACUGUGCCCAGCUUCCUUCCAGCCAUAAUCUGACUCAGGGUAUGGCCUUUAUGAGAAAUCAGGGGCUUUGAGAAACUCUCCUUUCAUGUGUCAGUGGUCAGCUUCAGCAAAAGGAAAGCCAAGGGGGUGUGGUUGCUCCCUGCUGUUUAGACUCUUCAGCCAUCAGAUCUGUACCUUCAGGUCAAGGAACAAUUCGUCUUUGGAAGAUGGAAGUACUCAGGAUAAUUAAAUGACUUUCUUCCUAGCAAUGGAGAUCUUGUUUAUUUGAGCAAAUCAGUGAAAAAAUUAUUUUACCAUGGGCUUACAAGAGGCUGGGAGUAUUUCUCUCACUAAUCCUGAAAUAACAGAGAUUCCUGAAAUGCAGAUACUUCAUCCAAGUUGAUUCCUGCAUUGCAGAUCUGAACUAUUGAUAAAAUAGGAUAAAAAGAAGCAGCAAUUGAAUCUGUUGAUUGUUGAGUCUGCUUUGUGGCCUAAAAUUCUAGAAAUAUCAGAACAUCUGCAGUUUGACAAUUAAAGAGCUUUCAUUUCUCAUCACAGAGUAGAUUUGGUGGUGGUUUUUACCUCUUUCAACUCACCUGCUGCAGGUGAGUUUAGUCUAUCCAGGGCCAAGAAGAAGAUAUGGACGUGGUCAGGAAACGACUGGACUUGGUCCUCCUCACUGAAGAAGGGGUUAUCUGACAGUGGUUACCCACCUGCAUCAGCUGAGGAUCUUGGGAAACCGGGUACUCCAGAACCAUGGACUCAUGAGGGGUGGCUCCCAGGCAUGAGCAUUGCUUAAAAAUGUUCUUGGACAAUUCUAAUGUGCAGCCAGGGUUGAGAACUGCUAGAAACCCCUUCUGUUGGAGAGCAAGGUAACUAAGUUAAUAGUUACCAAAGAGUGAAUGGCUUACAGCAUUAUUCCCAUUUUCCAAAUCAGUAUCUAAUGGAGAUUCUGGUCAGGUGACGAAGUGUAGUGAGUUCUAUCUCAUCUGGCUCAGACAACUGCUGUGCUUAGUGGGCCUUGUUUAAGCUUCCUCUUCCUAAAAUUAGAUGUAUUAAACACUUGCCUGAUACCUAUAGAUGAGUAGAUGAUUUGUAAAACUGAAUUUUGUACAAGUGUAAAUAUGUUGAUUGUGUAUCUAUCUGUGUCAUUAGAGCUAUGCCAUGGUGGCAAAAAUGAAAGACUCUAAAACAAUGAGGAAGGCUAUUAGAAUAUUUGAGGCCUUAUUGUUUUUUAGAGGUACUUUUUUGACCAAUAUAGAAAGGGUUGGAUAUAAAGUUGUUCAGCUAUUGCUUAUAUUUUCUAGUUACCUACCAUACAUCUUCCUAGUUAUUAAACUUUCUUCUAUAUAUUAAUUUCAAUUUUUCCACAUGAAUAAUUAAAUGCUAUACUCUUCUUUUAUGGGCAUGUGCUAAUGCCUAUUAUAUAUGUUUUUCAGAUUCUUCUGUAUAAGGUAUAUGGGAUCAAAGAGAACAGAAUUCAUAUUAGAGUUUUAGCUAUGUGACCUUGGGAAAAUUGUUAACUUCUCUGAGCCUCAUUUUCCUUAUUUAUAAAGUGGGAAUAAAAUAAGCUUGUCUCUUAACCUUAUGAUCGAGCCUUUAAAAACUAAUAUAUAAAAAGCACAAGGGAAUGGAAUUAAUAUGAGAAAAUGAG